GGGGGCCCAGGGCACCUGAGAGGACCUGAGACAAGCGUCCGCAUCCCCGACCGCCUGGCCGUGGGCGUGAGUGAUGGCGGUCACAAACACACCAGCGUUGGGACGGUUUGUCAGGCGGCGUUGCUGCAGCCAUAGGCGAGAAGGCAGAGGCUGGGAGGUGAGGACAGCCCUGUGGGGUCCUGGUCCGCCUGAGGAGGUGUGGACCGCAGCACAUCACACAUCCUGGGGUCAGGACUCCUCUGUCCAUGGGACUUCCGGGCAAAAAUACUGGAGCGGGUUGCCACUUCCUGCUCCAGGGGAUCUUCCCGACCCAGAGAUUGGAUUCACGUCUCCUGCAUCCCCUGGCAGGUGGCGUCUUUACCGCUCGGCCACCUGGGACGCCCAGGCCUCUGCAGUGAAAGGACCAAAUCCUUAUCACGAGACCACCAGGG